rnacentral:rRNA from 1 species
CCUACGGGUGGCAGCAGUGGGGAAUAUUGGACAAUGGGGGGAACCCUGAUCCAGCGACGCCGCGUGAGUGAAGACGUAUUUCGGUAUGUAAAGCUCUAUCAGCAGGGAAGAAAAUGACGGUACCUGACUCAGAAGCUCCGGCUAACUACGUGCCAGCAGCCGCGGUAAUACGUAGGGGGCCAGCGUUAUCCGGAUUUACUGGGUGUAAAGGGAGCGUAGGCGGUGCAGCAAGUCAGAUGUGAAAGGUCGGGGCCCAACCCCGGGACUGCAUUUGAAACUGUUGAACUUGAGUACAGGAGAGGUAGGCGGAAUUCGUAGUGUAGCGGUGAAAUGCAUAGAUAUUAGGAGGAACACCAGUUGCGAAGGCAGCUUACUGGACUGUAACUGACGUUGAGGCUCGAAAGCGUGGGGAGCAAACAGGAUUAGAUACCCUAGUAGUC